AGAGCGAUGGAAGCUUGCUUCUAUCAAUCUUAGUGGCGAACGGGUGAGUAACGCGUAAUCAACCUGCCCUUCAGAGGGGGACAACAGUUGGAAACGACUGCUAAUACCGCAUACGAUCUAACCUCGGCAUCGAGGAUAGAUGAAAGGUGGCCUCUAUUUAUAAGCUAUCACUGAAGGAGGGGAUUGCGUCUGAUUAGCUAGUUGGAGGGGUAACGGCCCACCAAGGCGAUGAUCAGUAGCCGGUCUGAGAGGAUGAACGGCCACAUUGGGACUGAGACACGGCCCAGACUCCUACGGGAGGCAGCAGUGGGGAAUCUUCC
rnacentral:rRNA from 1 species